rnacentral:lncRNA from 1 species
AAGACCUCAUAUAAUUUUAUUUGAAUAAUUGAGAAUCUGAGAUACUGACUCUAAUUAUAUAGCUAGCGCACAUGGUGAUUUCAAGAACAUUGAAAAGAAUAAAUUACACAGCAUUAAAGAGAAAUAAUUAUUCUCUUAUGAUCAGAUAAAUAGUACCCCAGUAAAAACAAUUAAUUGACAUGCAUGUAUAUAUAAUUAUAUAUAUGUAGAUGCUUUAUAUUCGGUCAAAAAUUAAAAGAAUAGGAGCUAGUAAUCAACUAAUAUGCGUAAAAUGUCAAUAAUUUACAGAUUAUCGUACUUCCACAUUAUGAAAAAGAAAUCAAAUUAGAGAGAAUGAUUUUUGCUCCACGAUUAUAAUUUUGGGAAGGGAAAUUAAAGAAAAUCAAUUCCCACGCCUUUUAAUUACUCUCUCUUUCCUUUUCCCUGCUUCAUUUCCCUUUUCCACCGUCCUACUAGCUUGUAGAUCUGCGAAUCUGAGACCUUUUAUUUUGACUUUUCUUGAAUUCUGGACUAAAAAGAAUAAGAAAAUACAAUAGAAACUAGAAGAAUAAUUAAAUAAACAACAAUGGAGCUGGAAACUUGAACAGAGGAAGAAGGAGGUGGAGGGCUAUGAUAGUAAAAAGGAAAGUACGGCACGAUUGGGUUUGGUGGUGGUGGCGUUGGAUAAUUUCCGCCCGCCGGAGGGUAAUAGCUUCCGGUGGUUACCGGCGGAGAGUUGCCGUAGCCUGGCUGAGAGGGUGGCGGAGGAGGGGAGUAGUAGUAGGUGCCGCCGCCAGAGCUGGGAGGAGAGGGUGGUGGAGGGCAGAUGUUUGAGGAGGAAGCAGGAGGCGGCGGCGGGGACGGAGUGGGUGGCGGAGGGGAGGGUGUGGGUGGUGGUGGAGAUGGGAGAACUGGGUUGUUGUUGUUGUUGCAUGGGUUGUCACAGGCGGCGCACAUUGUGCAUUCGAUUUGGUACUUGGAUCCUACCCAAGAAUUAGAAGUCACAUUUCUUGAAAAAAGUAAUGAUUUUAUCAAGAGGCUGAGAAAUGAAAGUUUCAAUCUUUGGGUCAUUUCCUUUAGCCGACGAGUUUCAAGAGAACUUAGAGAUCGAGAGAAAUUAAGUUGGACAGAGAGAGAGAGAAGAGAGGGGAGUAGGGGACUGGUGGUAUAUAUA